UUUUAUCGGAGAGUUUGAUCCUGGCUCAGGACGAACGCUGGCGGCAUGCCUAACACAUGCAAGUCGAACGGACCGAGUUG
rnacentral:rRNA from 1 species